rnacentral:sRNA from 1 species
UGUUUUUCUAAAUAACAGGUCUAGGCCCAAUUAGUAACAGAUACAGUGUUUACCAUUACUGUAACUUUUUCAACGGUUGAUAUUCUCUUUUAAAAACGGUUGUAAAUCAUUUUAAAAACGGUUGUAAAUCUUUUCAUAAUAGCAGCUACUGCAGCUUUUUCAACACAUUUAAAACGCUUUUAAAACAGCUUAUAAAUCGUUUAAAACCCCUGUUUAAAAGCAUGUUUAAAGUUCUUUUCCAUUCAAAUCAAAGCACCUGUUAACCCAAACAACCAUUAUACAGUAAUUUUGUAAAACAGGAGUUGAACUAAAUAAACUUCAUAAAUCUUGUUCCAUACAGAUGUUCAUAAAAUAUUCAAAUGACAAAGUUUAUAAAUCUAUCUUGUACUCCACUACUUUUUGAUUAGAAGUCUGCUACUUCUACAAAGUAACUAACCCUAAUUCGGUGAAGAUGUCAGCAGCCAAUCCCUGUUUAAUUUGUUUUUAGAUUAUAGUGAAUUUUUGGGCUUUAGUGUUUUUUGGGCUUUUAGUGUUUUUUUAUUACCUCUUUGUCCAUGAUACAUAUUUAGAGUAUACACCAGAGAGAGAUUUCGCUCCCAGGCACGACUUCCGAGGAGGACAAAAGAAGAAUGUUCCUUUCUUUUAACCAGAACUCACCCACUUUUGGCCUCUAAAAGUAGUAACUUCCAACGGUUAAUAGACUGGUUCGGUAUGUUCCGGCAAGUUUCCUGGUUCUCCGGUGGUUUUCCCCUGCUCAGAAGCUUUACACCUCUCGCUGCUGGACAUACUCACUCACGUCUCCCUUAAUGAAGACCCCUCCCAGGUAGCCUUCUGCUCUCCCCCAUCUUGCUUCCAACUGAAAACCCUGAAGAAAACUUUGUAACCCU